CCUACGGGGGGCAGCAGUGGGGGAUAUUGCACAAUGGGGGGAACCCUGAUGCAGCGACGCCGCGUGGGUGAAGAAGCGCCUCGGCGCGUAAAGCCCUGUCAGCAGGGAAGAAAAUGACGGUACCUGAAGAAGAAGCCCCGGCUAACUACGUGCCAGCAGCCGCGGUAAUACGUAGGGAGCGAGCGUUAUCCGGAAUUAUUGGGUGUAAAGGGUGCGUAGACGGGAAAACAAGUUAGUUGUGAAAUCCCUCGGCUUAACUGAGGAACUGCAACUAAAACUAUUUUUCUUGAGUGCAGGAGAGGUAA
rnacentral:rRNA from 1 species